rnacentral:rRNA from 1 species
UCGGGAAUUUUGGGCAAUGGGCGAAAGCCUGACCCAGCAACGCCGCGUGAGGGAUGAAGGCCUUCGGGUCGUAAACCUCUGUCAGGAGGGAAGAACGUUCUCGGGGAGAAUAUUCCCGGGAGCUUGACGGUACCUCCAAAGGAAGCGCCGGCUAACUCCGUGCCAGCAGCCGCGGUAAUACGGAGGGCGCAAGCGUUGUUCGGAAUCAUUGGGCGUAAAGCGCGUGUAGGCGGUCGGGUAAGUCGGAUGUGAAAGCCCGGGGCUCAACCCCGGAACUGCAUUCGAAACUGCCCGGCUAGAGUCCCGGAGAGGAUGGCGGAAUUCCCGGUGUAGAGGUGAAAUUCGUAGAUAUCGGGAGGAACACCAGUGGCGAAGGCGGCCAUCUGGACGGUGACUGACGCUGAGACGCGAAAGCGUGGGGAGCAAACAGGAUUAGAUACCCCCGUAGUCC